UUGACAUCCAGAGAAUUUAGCAGAGAUGCUUUAGUGCCUUCGGGAACUCUGAGACCAGGUGCUGCAUGGCUGUCGUCAGCUCGUGUUGUGAAAUGUUGGGUUAACGUCCGCAACGAGCGCAACCCUUAUCCUUUGUUGCCAGCACGUAAUGGUGGGAACUCAAAGGAGACUGCCGGUGAUAAACCGGAGGAAGGUGGGGAUGACGUCAAGUCAUCAUGGCCCUUACGAGUAGGGCUACACACGUGCUACAAUGGCGUAUACAAAGAGAAGCGACCUCGCGAGAGCAAGCGGACCUCAUAAAGUGCGUCGUAGUCCGGAUUGGAGUCUGCAACUCGACUCCAUGAAGUCGGAAUCGCUAGUAAUCGUAAAUCAGAAUGUUACGGUGAAUACGUUCCCGGGCCUUGUACACACCGCCCGUCACACCAUGGGAGUGGGUUGCAAAAGAAGUAGAUAGCUUAACCUUCGGGAGGGCGUUUACCACUUUGUGAUUCAUGACUGGGGUGAAGUCGUAACAAGGUAGGCGUAGUGCU
rnacentral:rRNA from 1 species